AUCAACGACCCCGAAGGAUCGAGAAAGGAUAAGAGUUCCCUGACCCGAAUAGUAGACCCGACGACCCGCGAUUGGGUCUGAUCCGAAAUCGAUCCUCCGGCCACCUCUAAGCGUCGAACCACCAGUGAUAGCUUCCUCUCCUCAGCGCCAACAACCCUGUGGCCUUGGAUUAUCUAUGCAUUGAAUGAAGGUGAAGAAUUGACCACUGGAAGCUUUGAGUUUUCUCCGGCGAAUUUCUGCAAAUUCUGACGGCUCUGGCCACCGAUUAAGCUACAUGUGUUUCGCUGUGUUCUUCGACACCAGGGACUUUCUGGCACUUCUAGGCUUGCUUGCUACAUGAAAGACGGUCUAUUCUCCGUACACUACACGCUGGUGUGCAUGAUCUUCUAAUUCGAUCAAUUUUGGAGAAGCUAUGUUUGGGUGCACUCGUCCUCCACCAAGAAUUGGGAAUUAGUUGAACUGGUUCUGACUUGUUGUGUUCUUCGACGGACGCAGACAUGCAAAAUUUUGGGUUCUGAUCUUGAUCAAAUUUGAUUACAAAGUGAGUUGGAUUCUGUUUGAAAGCUCUAAAGUUUGCUUCGUGUAGUCAACUUCUGGAAAUGAGUUGCCAUGCUCGUACUCUUACAAUGAAUUCAAGUUGAGCUUACUAUGUUGUUCUAGUUAGAAAGUUGGAGUUAAUUUUGAAUUGGAGUUGCUUGCUUGUGUUCGUAUUUUGAUCGUAAAUUGUAGUUGGAAAUGGUGAUUUGAGAUUGUUUCUGGUUCUGCAAGUUAAGGUUUGCUAAGGCGCGUUGUUUGAAAUGAUUGUGAAAAUUUGAAAAAAUGGUAAAGUUGUGAUGUUGGGUGUCCUUAGUAUUUCGGAGACAUCCUAUUUGAGUCGGAAUUGCAUUGGGUGUCCAUAGUAAUUCCAUUUAAUUAUUAUGCGACGUAAUUUUGAAGAAGAUUAGAAGUAAACGUUCAGAAUGCAUGAAAAGUAGUCGAUAUUCUAAUUUCAAGUAAAAUGUUAGGUAAUUGGGAUAAUUAUCGAACUUGUCACUAUCGGUCAAACAUUGUCAAAGAGGUCAAUCCUGGUCAAACUAGGAAAGGUCAGUUAAACAUCGGUCAACUCAUGGUCAGACUAGAAAAAGUUGGUUGGACGAUUUGUUAAUCGUUGAGAUUUCAGAUAUUUGUUCAAUAGAUUAUUAAUGGUCGAAAUGUCAGAACUUAGGACUCCAGUUACCCGAGGAACAGAAGGUUCGCGACUCUCGGAGUACGUGAGAUCGAGAAAGCAUCAGAAUCCAGGUAGGGAGUCGGGACUCUGCUCGAUUAGAAUUUUUCUUAUAUGUUAUUUAUAAAAUAAUGCAUGCUAUGGCUUGGUUAUGUUAAAUGCGAUGCAUUCUAACUAAACCGUGAGAGAUGUUGAUGGCUUGAGAGCGAAUGGUGGCACUGAAUUCCUUGAGUUCGAUCCCCUUAACUUCCGGAGGGUUAGCUACACCUGUCAGACAUUAAGCAAUCGCAAUGACAACCUGAUUCCGUGUGUGUAGCUAGGUAGAGGAUGCUAUCGCUACGCUUACCUGGUUUACAAAUUAAUUGAGGUAAGGUUAUGUAGUGGGUCCACCGAACUGGUCAUAGGGUAAGAUUCAGCGUGCUGUUUAUUUGAGUAAUUUGCAACGAUUUCAAGUCAUAAAGAGAUUUGAAAAAGUUUGUCGUUCCUUGAAAUAUUUAUUUUAAGCAUGUUUUCAUACUGGGGGCUCAAAAAAUGAAUUUAUUGGUUCUCAAAUCUAGUCAAGUUAGAGUUCCUGUUGAGCAGCGAGGGCGAAAGCUCACCCUUACAAUAGUGUGGAUGCAAGUACUGUGCACUGGUGACGGGACAAUAGAGGACGGAGCGGGGUGUGGGGAAUAAGUUCUAUAAUCCAUCUUCCGGAUUUUAUUUUAAAUUCUAUUUCUCAAGAGGAUACAAUUCCACAACAGACUAUAACUCAAGGGAGCUACACCAACAUUCCCCACACUUCACUUAUAGAGUAUACCAUUGCUCUGAUGAUUUAACACUCUAACCCACAUCUAACACUCCUACAUACCUAAUGACUAUAUCAAUAUUGAAUAGCAUCAGAUGGGGAUCCGCUGCAAAUGGGUCAUCACUCGAGUAGUAUUGAUUAUCACCAAAUAUGUACUUUACGCUCUGAUUCCAAACUGUACAGACUCGCUAUGUAGAGUCAUAUAUCACAUUACACAAGUUUA